UAGGGAAUCUUCGGCAAUGGGGGGAACCCUUACCGAGCAACGCCGCGUGAGUGAAGAAGGUUCUCGGAUCGUAAAGCUCUUUUGUUAAGUAAGAACGAGUGUGAGAAUGGAAAGUUCAUGCUGUGACGGUACUUAACCAGAAAGGGACGGCUAACUACGUGCUAUCAGCCGCGGUAAUACGUAGGUCCCGCGCGUUGUCCGGAUUUAUUGGGCGUAAAGCGGGCGCAGGCGAUCAAUUAAGUCUGAUGUGAAAGCCCCCGGCUCAACCGGAAAAGGUCAAUGGGAGCUGGUUGAGGUGGGUGAAGAGGGGGAGGGUGGAAUUCCAUGUGUAGCGGGGAAAGGCGGAGAUAGAUGGGGAGACAGCGGUAACGGGAGCGGCUCUCUGGACUGUGACAGACGAUGAGGCUCGAAAGCGUGGGGGGCGAAGAGG
rnacentral:rRNA from 1 species